CCUACGGGAGGCAGCAGUAGGGAAUCCUCCACAAUGGGCGAAAGCCUGAUGGAGCAACGCCGCGUGGGUGAAGAAGGUCUUCGGAUCGUAAAACCCUGUUGUUAGAGAAGAAAGUGCGUGAGAGUAACUGUUCACGUUUCGACGGUAUCUAACCAGAAAGCCACGGCUAACUACGUGCCAGCAGCCGCGGUAAUAGGUAGGUGGCAAGCGUUAUCCGGAUUUAUUGGGCGUAAAGCGUGUGCAGGCGGUUCAAUAAGUCUGAUGUGAAAGCCUUCGGC
rnacentral:rRNA from 1 species